rnacentral:rRNA from 1 species
GUUAGUUGCUAACGCGUGAAGGCGAGCACUCUAGACGAACUGCCGUUGACAAACGGAGGAAGGUGGGGAUGACGUCAAAUCAUCAUGCCCCUUAUGUUCUGGGCUACACACGUGCUACAAUGGCCGGUACAGACGGACGCAAAGCCGCGAGGUGGAGCAAAUCCUAAAAAGCCGGUCUCAGUUCGGAUUGCAGGCUGCAAUUCGCCUGCAUGAAGUCGGAAUCGCUAGUAAUCGCAGGUCAGCAUACUGCAGUGAAUACGUUCCCGGGCCUU